rnacentral:rRNA from 1 species
CGUUUAGGGGUAAACCUGAGAAACCCGAAAGGUCGAAGGGAGAAAUUCAUUCGCGUCGCGAGAUCGGCGCGAUGCGGUGCCGUGCGACGGAAUCUCGUUCGCGAGUUUUCCGCGCCCGCCGUUUCGCGAAUCGAUAUCGAACGCGUGCACUUUUCUCCUGGUAGGACGUCGCGAUCCGUUGGGCGUCGGUCUACGGUCCGCGGCGGAGCCCGUUCGUCUUCCUCGUGUCGUACGAACGGACCCGCGAGACCCGGCCGACUCGCUCGACGGUAUACAAACGGUUCGAGACCGCUCGCUUUUUGGGAGCGUCCGACCCGCGACAAGCGCGUCAGAAGCGUCGAAGACCGGACCCGGUCCGAUCCCGACCUCUGUCGACUGUUGGUCGCGGUGUUCUCGGACAGAUCUCGCUUAACCGAUUUGCGACGCUAUAGCUUUGGGUACUUUCAGGACCCGUCUUGAAACACGGACCAAGGAGUCUAGCAUGUGCGCGAGUCAUUGGGAUUUAACUAAACCUAAAGGCGUAAUGAAAGUAAAGGUCUUCCUAGCGAGGACCGAGGGAGGAGGGGUGCCGUGUCAAAAGCGGCCGCCUCGCACUCCCGGGGCGUCUCGUUCUCAUCGCGAGAAGAGGCGCACCAAGAGCGUACACGCUGGGACCCGAAAGAUGGUGAACUAUGCCUGGU